rnacentral:rRNA from 1 species
UGCGAGCGUUAAUCGGAAUUACUGGGCGUAAAGCGUGCGCAGGCGGUUUUGUAAGUCAGAUGUGAAAGCCCCGGGCUUAACCUGGGAAUGGCAUUUGGGACUGCAAGGCUAGAGUGCGGCAGAGGAGACUGGAAUUCCUGGUGUAGCAGUGAAAUGCGUAGAUAUCAGGAGGAAUACCGAUGGCGAAGGCAGGUCUCUGGGCUGACACUGACGCUCAUGCACGAAAGCGUGGGGAGCAAACAGG